rnacentral:misc_RNA from 1 species
AAGUCGUAACAAGGUCUCCGUAGGUGAACCUGCGGAGGGAUCAUUAACACUAUUUGAAGAAAUGAAAAUUUCUUCAAAUUUCUAUACACAUCGCGAACUCGUUGAUUUCUUUUUCCUAAAAACAAAAAGAAUCAGCCUAACAAAACUGUCUCGAAGGUAAGGUAGCCGAUGCGACGUAGUGAACCGUACCUUGGAAACAAGAUCGGUAGCUCCGCUUCCAUCCUUCGACGUGGUUCUUUUUUUGGGAGAUGUGACACUCACACAUCUCGUCCCCCCUUUUGCCAUUUCACUUUAAGCCAAUGUACUGAUACAGUCGAAGGAAAUCGAAAGGUUUUACUUCUUCCAAAUAUUCAAAAACUAAGCACAACUCUUAGCAACGGAUAUCUUGGUUCUC